GUUGGGUCACUGAAUGAAGUGAUCGGCGCCACUGUAAGGUGGCCCUCGUUAAGUCCUGGUAAAAGGUGAGACUCGAGUCUUCAAACAUUAGCGGGGUCUUGCCCCGCAGCGCCUUCAUUAUUUGUCCCUUGUCAGAGGACGAUGCACAGCGAAGUAUAACAUCCCGAGCUGUUUGUGAGGCGGCUCUUGGGGGGCCCGCGACCCGGUAUAGAC